AGUGGACGCUGGCGGUAGGCCUAACACAUGCGAGUCGAACGGCAGCACAGUAAGAGCUUGCUCUUACGGGUGGCGAGUGGCGGACGGGUGAGGCAUACAUCGGAAUCUACUUUUUCGUGGGGGAUAACGUAGGGAAACUUACGCUAAUACAGCAUACGACCUACGGGUGAAAGCAGGGGAUCUUCGCACCUUGCGCGAUUGAAUGAGCCGAUGUCGGAUUAGCUAGUUGGCGGGGUAAAGGCCCACCAAGGCGACGAUCCGUAGCUGGUCUGAGAGGAUGAUCAGCCACACUGGAACUGAGACACGGUCCAGACUCCUACGGGAGGCAGCAGUGGGGAAUAUUGGACAAUGGGCGCAAGCCUGAUCCAGCCAUACCGCGUGGGUGAAGAAGGCCUUCGGGUUGUAAAGCUCUGUUGUUGGGAAAGAAAAGCAGCAGGUUAAUACCCCGCUGUUCUGACGGUACCCAAAGAAUAAGCACCGGCUAACUUCGUG
rnacentral:rRNA from 1 species